rnacentral:rRNA from 1 species
UACAGAGACUGCAAGCGUUAUUCGGAUUCACUGGGCGUAAAGGGUGCGCAGGCGGCCAGGUGUGUUAGGCGUGAAAGCCCGUCGCUCAACGACGGAAUUGCACCUAAAACUAUCUGGCUAGAGUACUGGAGAGGGUAGUGGAAUUCACGGUGUAGCAGUGAAAUGCGUAGAUAUCGUGAGGAGCACCAAUGGCGAAGGCAACUACCUGGACAGUUACUGACGCUCAGGCACGAAAGCGUGGGGAGCAAAAGGG